rnacentral:ncRNA from 1 species
AAGGAGGUUUCCGAAAAGCCUUUAAUAGAGUAGGAA